rnacentral:rRNA from 1 species
CUACCACGCGAGUGGAUGCCAAUCCCCAAAACCUCUCUCAGUUCGGACUGGAGUCUGCAACCCGACUCCACGAAGCUGGAUUCGCUAGUAAUCGCGCAUCAGCCACGGCGCGGUGAAUACGUUCCCGGGCCUUGUACACACCGCCCGUCAAGCCAUGGGAGCCGGGGGUACCUGAAGUGCGUAACCGCGAGGAGCGCCCUAGGGUAAAACUGGUGACUGGGGCUAAGUCGUAACAAGGUAGC